CUGAAGAUGCCAAUCUGUGGGAAUAUCUAUCUAUAGAUGAUAGAUAGAUAUUCCCACAGAUUGGCAUCUUCAG